rnacentral:tRNA from 1 species
GCCUGGGUGGCUCAGUCGGUAAGCAUCUGACUUUGGCUCAGGUCAUGAUCUUGUGUUCCGUGAGUUCGAGCCCCACGUCGGGCU